UUGGCGGCAUCAUGAACAUUUAAGAACUAUGAGAGAAGUUUUAAUGAUUUGGUGCAAUUUCAGAAGAGGGUGCGCCUGUCCAUGAUGUGGCUGAUUCCAGAGGACCAGGUGUUUCAAUAUACAGUGUCGUUGGCAACACAGAGACUGCCAUCAACCAUCUCCCAGUUGCCUAUUGGUUCUUACAGUUGUCAGUAAGCCUAUUGGUUACCCUGACCCUUGCAGCAGGUUUUUAGUUCGGAGGUCUAUAAUGGGGCAGUCACAAAGCAAGGCCCUUACAGAUUAAGCCAGAAGCAAAUUAAGAGAUUGUGAAAUCAACAAAAGCAAAAGUCUACAAGAAGAAAAACAAAACAGUAGAGGGGGAUCCUGUUUAUGAAUAAAGGCAAAGGAUUGUUCUGGCCUAUCUUGGAGUGCAAGGGAUCCUUCACCUAGGAGGCAAACUGACAGUGUGCUUUCUCAAGGAGGGUCACAGCAAAGCCCAGCUGUAAAGCACUGCAAGGAUUUGGGCAAAUCUCUGAACAUUACAAGUGACCAGUCAACAGGACACUGAAGGGAGACGCUUAGAAGGCUUCAAGGUUGAAGUGUGCCAACUGCUAUCCUGCAGAGCAACAGCAGGACCUGUGAAGCAUUGAGGGGAGCACUUGUGCUGGUUAGGGCCAGUGGCGUUGGGAAGCUGAACCACAGUUCAGAGAAAGCUUCCUCACACUAAAGAUUACAGCAGAACCUCCUUUAGCUGAUCUAACUGGGACCGAGGCCAGAUCGAAUUAUCAAAAACUGAGGUAAUCCAGAGAAUGGG